rnacentral:rRNA from 1 species
GAGCGAACAGAUGAGAAGCUUGCUUCUCUGAUGUUAGCGGCGGACGGGUGAGUAACACGUGGGUAACCUACCUAUAAGACUGGGAUAACUCCGGGAAACCGGGGCUAAUACCUGAUAAUAUUUUGAACCGCAUGGUUCAAUAGUGAAAGACGGCUUCGGCUGUCACUUAUAGAUGGACCCGCGCCGUAUUAGCUAGUUGGUAAGGUAAUGGCUUACCAAGGCAACGAUACGUAGCCGACCUGAGAGGGUGAUCGGCCACACUGGAACUGAGACACGGUCCAGACUCCUACGGGAGGCAGCAGUAGGGAAUCUUCCGCAAUGGGCGAAAGCCUGACGGAGCAACGCCGCGUGAGUGAUGAAGGUCUUAGGAUCGUAAAACUCUGUUGUUAGGGAAGAACAAAUUUGUUAGUAACUGAACAAGUCUUGACGGUACCUAACCAGAAAGCCACGGCUAACUACGUGCCAGC